rnacentral:rRNA from 1 species
AUUGAACGCUGGCGGCAGGCCUAACACAUGCAAGUCGAGCGGAUGAAGGGAGCUUGCUCCUGGAUUCAGCGGCGGACGGGUGAGUAAUGCCUAGGAAUCUGCCUGGUAGUGGGGGAUAACGUCCGGAAACGGGCGCUAAUACCGCAUACGUCCUGAGGGAGAAAGUGGGGGAUCUUCGGACCUCACGCUAUCAGAUGAGCCUAGGUCGGAUUAGCUAGUUGGUGGGGUAAAGGCCUACCAAGGCGACGAUCCGUAACUGGUCUGAGAGGAUGAUCAGUCACACUGAAACUGAGACACGGUCCAGACUCCUACGGGAGGCAGCAGUGGGGAAUAUUGGACAAUGGGCGAAAGCCUGAUCCAGCCAUGCCGCGUGUGUGAAGAAGGUCUUCGGAUUGUAAAGCACUUUAAGUUGGGAGGAAGGGCAGUAAGUUAAUACCUUGCUGUUUUGACGUUACCAACAGAAUAAGCACCGGCUAACUUCG